UACCAUUUGGAAACAGAUGCUAAUACCGGAUAAAAAGACUACUUUCGCAUGAAAAGAAGUUUAAAAAAGGACGGCGUAAAGCUGUCGCUAAAGGAUGGACCUGCGAUGCAUUAGCUAGUUGGUAAGGUAACGGCUUACCAAGGCGAUGAUGCAUAGCCGAGUUGAGAGACUGAUCGGCCACAUUGGGACUGAGACACGGCCCAAACUCCUACGGGAGGCAGCAGUAGGGAAUCUUCCACAGUGGACGCAAGUCUGAUGGAGCAACGCCGCGUGAGUGAAGAAGGUUUUCGGAUCGUAAAGCUCUGUUGUUGGCGAAGAAGGAUAGAGGUAGUAACUGGCCUUUAUUUGACGGUAAUCAACCAGAAAGUCACGGCUAACUACGUGCCAGCAGCCGCGGUAAAU
rnacentral:rRNA from 1 species